AUGGCCCUCAACCCCUUCUCCUCCGGCACCCGCCUCCGGGACAUGAUACGGGCGAUACGCGCGUGCAAGACGGCGGCGGAGGAGCGGGCGGUGGUGCGGCGGGAGUGCGCGGCGAUACGGGCCGCGAUCAGCGGGGACGGCCAGGACCUGCGGCACCGCAACAUGGCCAAGCUCAUGUUCAUCCACAUGCUCGGCUACCCCACCCACUUCGGCCAGAUGGAGUGCCUCAAGCUCAUCGCCGCCGCUGGCUACCCCGAGAAGCGGAUCGGCUACCUCGGCCUCAUGCUGCUCCUCGACGAGCGCCAGGAGGUCCUCAUGCUCGUCACCAACUCGCUCAAGCAGGAUCUCAACCACUCGAACCAGUUCAUCGUGGGGCUCGCGCUGUGCGCGCUCGGGAACAUCUGCUCCGCCGAGAUGGCCCGGGAUCUGGCGCCUGAAGUGGAGAGGCUGAUGCGAAGCAGGGAUGCUAAUACAAAGAAGAAGGCUGCUUUGUGCUCUGUAAGGAUUGUAAGAAAAGUCCCGGAUUUGGCGGAAAACUUCAUGGGUCUUGCUGUAUCAUUACUGAAGGAAAAACACCAUGGGGUUUUGAUAUCUGCAGUUCAGCUCUGCACUGAAUUGUGUAAAGCCAGCAAAGAUGCACUGGGGUACCUGAGAAAGAACUGCAUCGAAGGUCUGGUCCGAAUACUUAGAGAUGUCUCCAAUAGUUCAUAUGCUCCUGAGUAUGAUGUUGCUGGCAUUUCGGAUCCUUUCUUGCAUAUCCGGGUUCUUAAACUUAUGCGUAUGUUGGGUCAAGGUGACGCAGAUUGCAGUGACUAUAUGAAUGAUAUUCUCGCUCAGGUCGCAACAAAAACCGAGUCAAACAAGAAUGCUGGAAAUGCCAUCUUAUAUGAAUGUGUUGAGACUAUAAUGGGUAUUGAAGCUACUAGUGGUCUACGUGUCCUGGCUAUUAAUAUUCUGGGUAGAUUCUUGUCAAACCGCGAUAACAAUAUAAGAUAUGUUGCUCUGAACAUACUUAUGAGGGCCAUUACAGUAGAUGCACAAGCCGUACAGAGGCACAGGGUGACAAUAUUGGAGUGUGUAAAGGACGCUGAUGCCUCCAUUCGCAAAAGGGCCCUGGAACUUGUUUAUUUGUUGGUCAAUGAUACAAAUGUAAAGCCUCUGACCAAAGAGCUAGUCGACUACUUACAAGUAGCUGAUCCAGACUUCAAAGAAGAUCUCACAGCCAAGAUAUGCUCCAUAGCUGAAAAGUUUUCUCAAGAAAAGUUAUGGUAUCUUGAUCAGAUGUUCAAGGUUUUAUCCCUGGCUGGAAAUCAUGUGAAAGAUGAUGUGUGGCAUGCCCUUAUUGUUGUAAUAAGCAAUGCGUCUGAACUUCAAGGAUACUCAGUGAGAUCAUUAUACACGGCUUUACAAGCAUACAGUGAACAGGGAAGUUUACUGAGAGUAGCUGUUUGGUGCAUUGGUGAAUAUGGUGAAAUGCUAGUGAACAAUGUUGGCAUGCUUGAAGCUGAGGCACCAAUCACAGAACGGAGGGAGUAUUAUUUUUCUAUGGUAUUGUUGUCAGACAUCAUGCCAAGCACAUCAACCUGUGCAGAUGUGACAACUAGGUCCAUGUGUCUAGUUGCUCUUUUGAAGCUCUCCUCACGGUUUCCAUCUAUGUCGGAGAGGAUAAAACAAAUAGUUGCCCAGAAUAAAGAAAAUAUGGUGCUUGAACUACAGCAAAGAUCAAUUGAAUUCGGUUCCAUUAUACAAAGACAUCAGUCUAUCAGGUCAUCUUUGCUUGAACGCAUGCCUGUACUGGAUGAAGCUACUUAUCUUGUGAAGAGGGCUAGUGCCACACAAGCAACUAUUCCAGCAUAUAAGCCUGCAGCAGUCACUCCUGGAGGCCUUAAGCUUCCUAAUGGUGUAGCAAAACCUGCUGUAGCUCCAUUAGUUGAUUUGCUGGAUUUAAGUUCUGACGAUGCACCAGCCACUUCCGCUGCUUCUGCUACUACAGCACCUAGUGAUUUUCUACAAGACCUUUUGGGUAUUGGUGGGACAAAUCUAUCAACUGCAGGAGCACCUUCAUCUGCAAGCACAGAUAUUCUAAUGGAUCUUCUAUCCAUGGGAUCGUCUCUAUCACAGAAUGGUCUGCCAUCUCCAGCCCAAGAGAAAAAACCUGUUUCUGCUGCACCUCAAGUUGGUUCUCUUGUACCCGAACCUAUGGAUCUACUCGGCAGUUUGUCAUCAAGUGCAUCUAUUUCUGGAACGAAAUCCACUAUUGCUGCACCUCAAGCUGUGGAUCUGCUCGAUGGUUUGUCACCAAGUACGUCCGUUUCUGGACUUGAAGAUACUCGUCCGUCAAUAACGGCUUUCCAGAGUGCAACUUUGAAGAUCACCUUUGAUAUCAGAAAACAGCCUGGAAAGCCGCAAGAGACUAUCAUCCAUGCCACUUUUACAAAUUUGACAUCUAGCAAUUAUACAGAUUUCGUUUUUCAGGCAGCUGUUCCAAAGUUCAUUCAAUUGCGACUUGAUCCAGCUAGUGGUAACAUUGUUCCAGCUAAUGGAAAGGGUUCAGUCACACAAGGUUUCAGUGUCACGAAUAAUCAGCAUGGGCAGAAACCACUUGCAAUGCGUAUCCGGAUGUCGUACAAAGUGAACGGCGAGGACAGGUUGGAACAAGGUCAAGUCAGCAAUUUUCCACCUGGAGUAUAG
rnacentral:rRNA from 1 species